rnacentral:pre_miRNA from 1 species
CAUAUACUUCCUCCGUUCGAAAUUACUUGUCUCGGAAAUGGAUGUAUCUAGAACUAAAAUACAUCUAGAUACAUCCAUUUCUGCGACAAGUAAUUUCGAACAGAGGGAGUAUAUA